rfam:Ictidomys tridecemlineatus contig017225, whole genome shotgun sequence.
GGGGUUGUGGCUCAGUGGUAGAGCACUCACCUAACACGCAUGAGGCACUGGGUUCAAUCCUCAGCACCUCA